rnacentral:rRNA from 1 species
UCGGGAAUUUUGGGCAAUGGGGGAAACCCUGACCCAGCAACGCCGCGUGAAGGAUGAAGUAUUUCGGUAUGUAAACUUCGAAAGAAUAGGAAGAAUAAAUGACGGUACUAUUUAUAAGGUCCGGCUAACUACGUGCCAGCAGCCGCGGUAAUACGAAGGGUGCGAACGUUAUUCGGAUUUAUUGGGCGUAAAGGGUACGCAGGCGGUGCGUUAAGUCAACUGUUAAAUCUCCCGGCCUAACUGGGAAUCAGCGGUAGAUACUGGCGCACUAGAGGAUGGAAGAGAGAAGUGGAAUUCUUGGAGUAGAGGUAAAAUUCGUAGAUCUCAAGAGGAACACCGAUGGCGAAGGCAGCUUCUUGGUCCAUUUCUGACGCUCAUGUACGAAAGCGUGGGGAGCAAACAGGAUUAGAUACCCUGGUAGUCCCUGAGCGGGCUGGCAAGGCGCAU